rnacentral:rRNA from 1 species
GCUUAACACAUGCAAGUCGAGGGGCAGCAUGGUCUUAGCUUGCUAAGACUGAUGGCGACCGGCGCACGGGUGAGUAACACGUAUCCAACCUGCCGUCUACUCUUGGACAGCCUUCUGAAAGGAAGAUUAAUACAAGAUGGCAUCAUGAGUCCGCAUGUUCACAUGAUUAAAGGUAUUCCGGUAGACGAUGGGGAUGCGUUCCAUUAGAUAGUAGGCGGGGUAACGGCCCACCUAGUCUUCGAUGGAUAGGGGUUCUGAGAGGAAGGUCCCCCACAUUGGAACUGAGACACGGUCCAAACUCCUACGGGAGGCAGCAGUGAGGAAUAUUGGUCAAUGGGCGAGAGCCUGAACCAGCCAAGUAGCGUGAAGGAUGACUGCCCUAUGGGUUGUAAACUUCUUUUAUAAAGGAAUAAAGUCGGGUAUGCAUACCCGUUUGCAUGUACUUUAUGAAUAAGGAUCGGCUAACUCCGUGCCAGCAGCCGCGGUAAUACGGAGGAUCCGAGCGUUAUCCGGAUUUAUUGGGUUUAAAGGGAGCGUAGAUGGAUGUUUAAGUCAGUUGUGAAAGUUUGCGGCUCAACCGUAAAAUUGCAGUUGAUACUGGAUAUCUUGAGUGCAGUUGAGGCAGGCGGAAUUCGUGGUGUAGCGGUGAAAUGCUUAGAUAUCACGAAGAACUCCGAUUGCGAAGGCAGCCUGCUAAGCUGCAACUGACAUUGAGGCUCGAAAGUGUGGGUAUCAAACAGGAUUAGAUACCCUGGUAGUCCACACGGUAAACGAUGAAUACUCGCUGUUUGCGAUAUACUGCAAGCGGCCAAGCGAAAGCGUUAAGUAUUCCACCUGGGGAGUACGCCGGCAACGGUGAAACUCAAAGGAAUUGACGGGGGCCCGCACAAGCGGAGGAACAUGUGGUUUAAUUCGAUGAUACGCGAGGAACCUUACCCGGGCUUAAAUUGCAGAUGAAUUACGGUGAAAGCCGUAAGCCGCAAGGCAUCUGUGAAGGUGCUGCAUGGUUGUCGUCAGCUCGUGCCGUGAGGUGUCGGCUUAAGUGCCAUAACGAGCGCAACCCUUGUUGUCAGUUACUAACAGGUUCCGCUGAGGACUCUGACAAGACUGCCAUCGUAAGAUGUGAGGAAGGUGGGGAUGACGUCAAAUCAGCACGGCCCUUACGUCCGGGGCUACACACGUGUUACAAUGGGGGGUACAGAGGGCCGCUACCACGCGAGUGGAUGCCAAUCCCCAAAACCUCUCUCAGUUCGGACUGGAGUCUGCAACCCGACUCCACGAAGCUGGAUUCGCUAGUAAUCGCGCAUCAGCCACGGCGCGGUGAAUACGUUCCCGGGCCUUGUACACACCGCCCGUCAAGCCAUGGGAGCCGGGGGUACCUGAAGUGCGUAACCGAGAGGAGCGCCCUAGGGUAAAACUGGUGACUGGGGCUAAGU